rnacentral:rRNA from 1 species
GACGAACGCUGGCGGCGUGCCUAAUACAUGCAAGUCGAACGAACUCUGGUAUUGAUUGGUGCUUGCAUCAUGAUUUACAUUUGAGUGAGUGGCGAACUGGUGAGUAACACGUGGGAAACCUGCCCAGAAGCGGGGGAUAACACCUGGAAACAGAUGCUAAUACCGCAUAACAACUUGGACCGCAUGGUCCGAGUUUGAAAGAUGGCUUCGGCUAUCACUUUUGGAUGGUCCCGCGGCGUAUUAGCUAGAUGGUGGGGUAACGGCUCACCAUGGCAAUGAUACGUAGCCGACCUGAGAGGGUAAUCGGCCACAUUGGGACUGAGACACGGCCCAAACUCCUACGGGAGGCAGCAGUAGGGAAUCUUCCACAAUGGACGAAAGUCUGAUGGAGCAACGCCGCGUGAGUGAAGAAGGGUUUCGGCUCGUAAAACUCUGUUGUUAAAGAAGAACAUAUCUGAGAGUAACUGUUCAGGUAUUGACGGUAUUUAACCAGAAAGCCACGGCUAACUACGUGCCAGCAGCCGCGGUAAUACGUAGGUGGCAAGCGUUGUCCGGAUUUAUUGGGCGUAAAGCGAGCGCAGGCGGUUUUUUAAGUCUGAUGUGAAAGCCUUCGGCUCAACCGAAGAAGUGCAUCGGAAACUGGGAAACUUGAGUGCAGAAGAGGACAGUGGAACUCCAUGUGUAGCGGUGAAAUGCGUAGAUAUAUGGAAGAACACCAGUGGCGAAGGCGGCUGUCUGGUCUGUAACUGACGCUGAGGCUCGAAAGUAUGGGUAGCAAACAGGAUUAGAUACCCUGGUAGUCCAUACCGUAAACGAUGAAUGCUAAGUGUUGGAGGGUUUCUGCCCUUCAGUGCUGCAGCUAACGCAUUAAGCAUUCCGCCUGGGGAGUACGGCCGCAAGGCUGAAACUCAAAGGAAUUGACGGGGGCCCGCACAAGCGGUGGAGCAUGUGGUUUAAUUCGAAGCUACGCGAAGAACCUUACCAGGUCUUGACAUACUAUGCAAAUCUAAGAGAUUAGACGUUCCCUUCGGGGACAUGGAUACAGGUGGUGCAUGGUUGUCGUCAGCUCGUGUCGUGAGAUGUUGGGUUAAGUCCCGCAACGAGCGCAACCCUUAUUAUCAGUUGCCAGCAUUAAGUUGGGCACUCUGGUGAGACUGCCGGUGACAAACCGGAGGAAGGUGGGGAUGACGUCAAAUCAUCAUGCCCCUUAUGACCUGGGCUACACACGUGCUACAAUGGAUGGUACAACGAGUUGCGAACUCGCGAGAGUAAGCUAAUCUCUUAAAGCCAUUCUCAGUUCGGAUUGUAGGCUGCAACUCGCCUACAUGAAGUCGGAAUCGCUAGUAAUCGCGGAUCAGCAUGCCGCGGUGAAUACGUUCCCGGGCCUUGUACACACCGCCCGUCACACCAUGAGAGUUUGUAACACCCAAAGUCGGUGGGGUAACCUUUUAGGAACCAGCCGCCUAAGGUGGGACAGAUGAUUAGGGUG